rnacentral:misc_RNA from 1 species
UGCGGCUGGAUCCCCUCCUUUCUAGGGAAUCCGGAGCUAUUACUCCGGAGGCGUCCGUGCCCGUCGAUGCGUCGGAGCUCACCGCUUCGGCUCGUCCGGUGCUCGGUCUCGCCUAGAACAACGUCGACCGACGUAUCGCGCUCGAGCCCGCCUUGGCGGUCUCGGGCAGCACGCUGUUGAGUUUUGAGGGACCGGCUCCGUGCCGGCUCUGCAGGGCGGGCGGUCGAGUCCGUGUGCACCUUGAAAACUCCAUAGCGGCAUACACGUGUUCUUUCUGAUCAAGAGAAUAAGGGCACACGGUGGAUGCCUUGGCGCCAAGAGCCGAUGAAGGACGUGGGCGGCUGCGAAAAGCUCCGGGGAGGUGCUGACCGACCUUUGAUCCGGAGAUGUCCGAAUGGGGAAACCCGG